GCCGGUUUGGCUCAAUGGAUAGAGCGUCAUUGGCCUGUGGACUGAAGGGUCCCAGGUUCGAUUCCUGGUAAGGGCA
rnacentral:tRNA from 1 species